GAGGAAUGUAUAGCNAUAGCUACUUGCAUCAUUGUAAAAAUGAUGCAGGAUCGACUAUGUCGAAUAAAAUUCUAGGUAGAAUUUUGAUAAUGACAUUGUCUGCCUAUGUGUCUUGACCAAAUUACGUGCCAGCAGUCGCGGUAAUACGUAGAAGACUAGUGUUAUUCAUGUUUAAUCGGUUUAAAGGGUACCUAGACGGUAAAUCAAGCCUAAAAUUAAAUGAAGGGACUAAUUUACUAGAGUUACUUAUGAGGGGGUAUUAAAGUACUGCUGGUGUAGAGAUGAAAUUCUGUCAUACCUCUUUUCUAUAGAAAAAUAAUGGCACAGGUAUAGGCGAAAGCAUCCCCUUAUGUGAUAACUGACGUUGAGGGACGAAGGCUUUGUGUAGCGAACAGGAUUAGAUACCCCCGUAGUCAAAGCAGAAAAUGAUGAAUGUCAUAGAUUAGAUAAAUAAGUUUAUUCUAUAAAUGAAAGUGUAAGCAUUCCACCUCAAGAGUAAUUUGGCAACAUUGGAACUGAAAUCAUUAGACCGUUUCUGAAACCAGUAGUGAAGUAUGUUGUUUAAUUUGAUGAUCCGCAAAAAACCUUACCACAAUUUGAAUAUUUAUAUCUUUUAUUGUUUUUUUUAUUUUUCUUCUCUUCUGAUUUGAUUUUUCUAAAGAAAAAGAGGCGAUAUGAUAUAUUUACAACGCGUUGCACGGCUGUCUUCAGUUAAUGUCGCGAGACUUUGGUUAGUUCCAUUAAAUUAACGUAAACCCUUACUUUAUUUUUAUAUAGAGUAGUUCCCCGCUAUAUGGAUAUGA
rnacentral:rRNA from 1 species